AAAGUGUCAUAGUCUCUAAUUAAUUCUAAAGUAAGCGGUGUAUGCUUCGACAGCCGUAAAAAAACUAAUAAACUAAUAAAAUUUUUUGGCAUUGCGAGCAUCUCAGCCUCAUGUAUAGACGCUCUGGCUGGCUCUUGAACAAUUUCAACAAUUUCAAGAGAGCCUGGAGUCAGCUCUUGAGCCGGUCAGAAAAUUCGAGUACAACAAAUUUGUAUGGCGUUACUCAUCUUACUUACUCAUAUUGUCUUAUGUUGUGAAAUGUUGAUCUUCGCUUAUUUCAUUAUUUUUCAUUGGGGAUCAAUGAAAAAUACCUUUUUAUAAAGUUAGUGUCGGUGGUUCCGCGGAGUUGCCUUUAACAGCACCAAAUGAAUCCGUAAGAGCAGUUAUUGUCGUAAGUUGCCGCUGCUGCUGACCGCUACAGGUACUGGCAAUGUUUUAUCCUAUAAAGUACAUCGAUCAUAACCUAGCCUCCUGCUUUAACCACGCGACAGCAAAAACGAUCUAAUACUAUCUCGCCUAUCGCGGACAACUAUCGGCCAUCGACAUCCCCGACCCCUGAAGAACCGCUUCACUCAAACCAAAACCGCAACCGAGAGAGGCCACAGAAAUUCACUCGCACACUUGCGCGUCUGAUGACUCCAUCGACUCCUUGGUAAACGCCCUCCACGAUGUCCAAUCUCUACGGAGCAAGGCUAGAUCGCAGAUGAAGACCAUGUCACCCUGGCGAAUCGGCUCCGUCCUCUGGCACCAUUUUUCUCGGCUCGCAAAUAUAAUAACGUCAUCCAUAUAGACUGCUGCUUCAUUAUUCUUU